rnacentral:rRNA from 1 species
UAAGGAGGGUGCGAGCGUUACUCGGAAUCACUGGGCGUAAAGGGCGCGUAGGCGGUCUAGCAAGUCUGGUGUGAAAGCCCAGGGCUCAACCCUGGGAGGGCACUGGAAACUGCUAGGCUUGAGUUCCGGAUAGGAGGGGGGAAUUCCCGGUGUAGCGGUGAAAUGCGUAGAUAUCGGGAGGAAUACCGGUUGCGAAGGCGGCCCUCUGGACGGAGACUUACGCUGAGGCGCGAAAGCGUGGGGAGCAAACAGG